rnacentral:rRNA from 1 species
GAUGAACGCUGGCGGCGUGCUUAACACAUGCAAGUCGAACGAUGAAGGACAGCUUUCUUUCUGUAGUAGUGGCGAACGGGUGAGUAACACGUGAGUAACAUGCCCUUUAUACUGGGAUAAUCCUGUUAAACUCGGUCUAAUACCGGAUAGAAGCGUACACCGCAUGUUGGGUUUUGGAAAGAUGUAUCGGUUUUGGAUGGACUCAAGGCCAAUCAGCUUGUUUGUGAGGUAGUGGAUCACCAAGGCGGCGACGGGUAACCGGCCUGAGAUGGUGAACGGCCCCAAGGGGACUGGGAGAGGGCCCAGAAGGAAACGGGGGGCAGCAGUGGGAAAUAUUGCACAAUAGGCCCAAGCCUGGUGCAGCGAUGCCGGGUGAGGAAUGCCGGCUUUAGGGUUAUAAACAUUUUUCAGUAGGAAAGAACCCAAAGUGACGGUACCUGAACAGAAAGCACCGGCUAACUACGUG